rnacentral:rRNA from 1 species
AAGCCCUUCGGGGCUCUCUGGUGAUUCAUAAAUAAACUUUCGAAAUCGCACGGGCUUGCGCCGGCGAUGGGUUCAUUCAAAUUUCUGCCCUAUCAACUUUCGACGGCUGGGUCUUGGCCAGCCGUGGUGACAACGGGGUAACGGAGGGUUAGGGCUCGACCCCGGAGAAGGAGCCUGAGAAACGGCUACUACAUCCAAGGAAGGCAGCAGGCGCGCAAAUUACCCAAUCCCGACACGGGGAGGUAGUGACAAUAAAUACUGAUACAGGGCUCUUUCGGGUCUUGUAAUCGGAAUGAGUACAAUUUAAAUCCCUUAACGAGGAACAAUUGGAGGGCAAGUCUGGUGCCAGCAGCCGCGGUAAUUCCAGCUCCAAUAGCGUAUAUUAAAGUUGUUGAGGUUAAAAAGCUCGUAGUUGAACCUUGGGCCUAGCCGGCCGGUCCGCCUCACCGCGUGCACUGGCUCGGCUGGGUCUUUCCUUCUGGAGAACCUCAUGCCCUUCACUGGGUGUGCUGGGGAACCAGGACUUUUACUCUGAACAAAUUANAUCGCUUAAAGAAGGCCUAUGCUCGAAUACAUUAACAUGGAAUAAUAAAAUAGGACGUGGGGUUCUAUUUUUGUUGGUUUCUAAGGACCGCCGUAAUGAUUAAUAAGGACAGUCGGGGGCAUCAGUAUUCAAUUUGUCAAAAGGUGAAAUUCUUGGGAAUUUAUUUGAAGAACUAACUACUGGCGAAAACCAUUUUGCCAAGGAUGUUUUUCCUUUUAAUCA